rnacentral:misc_RNA from 1 species
AACGGUCUAUACCUGCGGUACCUGCGGAGGGAUCAUUACCGAGUUAUCAACUCCCAAACCCCUGUGAACAUACCCGAACGUUGCCUCGGCGGGACCGCCCCGGCGCCCCUAGCGGCCCGGAACCAGGCGCCCGCCGGAGGACCCAAACUCUUGCUUUAAACAGUGGCAUACUCUCUGAGGCUCACAAACAAAAAAUAAAUCAAAACUUUCAACAACGGAUCUCUAGAUCGGAAGAGCACA